UUGCACUGUUCGUAACCUGUUGACAGUAUCUUUCUGCUGAUGGGUUCCAUUCCAGUGCUACAUAAAUCACCAAAGUAAGAGAAGGCUGGCUGGCUGUUCUUUAUUUUGGGGGACAUAA